rnacentral:ncRNA from 1 species
AUAUAGAUACAGGAGUUGCUACGGCUGUUUUCUAGUUAAUGUUGUGAAACUAGUGGUUUUUCCUAUGAAAUUAACAGAAUCCUUUGCUUUAUUUAUAGAAUGUUUUAUAAAGCAAUCUUUCAAGAGAACAGAAUGGAGAAAAGGAAAAAGAACAAGUCAUCAUGGCCCUUAUGUUAUGGGCUAUAGACGUGCCACGUAGACCUCAACAAAGAGAUGCAAAAAUAGUGAAUUUUAGCUAAUCUCAAAAAAGAGGAUAUAAAUUAUACAAGGAUUGUAGUCUGAAACUCGACUAUAUGAAUAAGUAAUUACUAGUAAUCGUGAAUCACCAUGUCACGGUGAAUGUUAUCUCGGAUUGGUACUAACCACUCGUCGCAUGCUGAAAGGAGAUCACGCAAUAAGUUUGCUAUUUGGUUAUAAUCUCUUUA